GAUGAACGCUGGCGGCGUGCCUAAUACAUGCAAGUCGAGCGAACGGACGAGAAGCUUGCUUCUCUGAUGUUAGCGGCGGACGGGUGAGUAACACGUGGAUAACCUACCUAUAAGACUGGGAUAACUUCGGGAAACCGGAGCUAAUACCGGAUAAUAUUUUGAACCGCAUGGUUCAAAAGUAAAAGACGGUCUUGCUGUCACUUAUAGAUGGAACCGCGCUGCAUUAGCUAGUUGGUAAGGUAACGGCUUACCAAGGCAACGAUGCAUAGCCGACCUGAGAGGGUGAUCGGCCACACUGGAACUGAGACACGGUCCAGACUCCUACGGGAGGCAGCAGUAGGGAAUCUUCCGCAAUGGGCGAAAGCCUGACGGAGCAACGCCGCGUGAGUGAUGAAGGUCUUCGGAUCGUAAAACUCUGUUAUUAGGGAAGAACAUAUGUAUAAGUAACUGUGCACAUCUUGACGGUACCUAAUCAGAAAGCCACGGCUAACUACGUG
rnacentral:rRNA from 1 species